GAAGAUUUAGUUAAAUUUAUAACAUUAGAUUGUCAAACUAAAAUUAUCAACUUUAUUGAUAAUCUUUU
rnacentral:tRNA from 1 species